rnacentral:lncRNA from 1 species
AACGUGUACAUGGUGCAUUGAGUUGGUUGGAACCUCUCCAGUUAACUGUUAAUAAACAAUGAUUCAUUUAAGUUUGACUUCGAGUGUCCCUGUGUUGAAUUUCCAAGACAGGCUCAUCACCCACUCUGGAGGGCAUUGCUUUUACAGACGUCAGGCAACUCCAUCCACAGACUAAGACACUCUUCCAGGAGCAUUCCAGUCCAGUCCAGCCCAAGGGCAUUUCUCUCUCACACACCCUGCAGGCCAAUACUGGAACUACACCUACAAUAGGAGCAAUGAGUAGAGGAGAGCGAGCUAGAUGAAGUACAUCACAGUCAUGCCCUCGUGCUCUUGGGGGAUGUCUAUGCCUGCACUGUGGAGUUCUGGGAGCCUGAGCUGAGUGGGUCCGGUGCUGGUCCUGCUGUAUUGUCUGGAGUAGGCCUGACACUGGGGUUGCUAGGGGUGGCCACCGGAACAUUCCUCCUCGUCAAAGGAAACCAGCGCAACUGAGUCAUAUACUGUUAUGUUAAGUAACAGUUCUGUACAGUUUAUCUCAGUGUUUGUUCUCUCUUUUAUGAUCCACUACAUUUAAAGUCAAGUAAAGAGGAUGAUUUCACAUCCAUACUUUGACAUGCCUUUUCCAAACCUCUUUAAUUUGUCAGUCAAUCACCCACAGACAGUCAGGCACAUGUAUGUACA